CACACCAGGCAGCUCUAAGAUACUUCUGUGAUAAUACUUCCCUUGAUCGUGACACCGAGGUGGACGAAGAAAGAGAGGGUGUAGAUCAACCGUUCGUUCGAAUCCCUUUCUAAGGGGAGGCUGGCGGGGUGUAGGAGCGGACGGGUCAUUUACCCCGCGGAAACGUGUCUGACCCUGGCACAUACCCGAAAUUGCGGACCUCUCCGGCAGACUGACCGCGGGGCCACGACGCUUAUUAUGAGCCUGCCCCCUUUAGGUAUUUCGCGUCGCUAUGGUCCGCCGGAGCCACCCUAGAUGCCCGUUUGACAAGAUGGUAGAGUGACCCGGGAUUGAUCCUCCCACCGACUCUUCCACCAGUUCUUCUGGAAUUCACUCCACGUUCGCAAUUUGCACCACCAGGGUUCGUCGAAAGGGCAGCGUCGUGUCGCCCCCCCCUUGGGUGAGAAGAAACUUCAAAAACAGUCCUGGAGGCCCCAACGUCAGGUCAGAACAAACUAUAGUCAAGUCCUUGCAUCCGCCGAUGCCAUCCCGGCGGGGGCAAGAAAAGAUACGAAGGCGAGCGCCGUAGGGCGAGCGCCCGGGACUCUGUUAGGUUGCUUUGAUUAUUGAAUCGGUUUUCGCUAUGGAGGUUUUUUGGAAUAGCCCUCUUUUAAUACGGUAAGGGGAGUGUCCUAAUGGGUGGUAAAUUUGUAAGGGGAAAUGUCAGGAAAGAAAUAAUGUAGGGGAACCCCCCACCUCUGACCGUAACCAGUCCGCUAUCUUUCCGGGGGUGGCCUGGCCACACAUUAUUAAAUCCCGCGAGAGUGCCUCGCCCCCCCGAAUCCCCCCCCUGUGAAAAGCUGUGUCUCCCCGUUAUAAAGGCCUUGGCGCUUGGAAAAUUCUAUACUUGGCUCUAAUGUUUGCGGGGGCCCGCACAAGCGGUGGAGCAUGUGGUUUAAUUCGAAGCAACGCGAAGAACCUUACCAGGUCUUGACAUCCUCUGACAACCCUAGAGAUAGGGCGUUCCCCUUCGGGGGACAGAGUGACAGGUGGUGCAUGGUUGUCGUCAGCUCGUGUCGUGAGAUGUUGGGUUAAGUCCCGCAACGAGCGCAACCCUUGAUCUUAGUUGCCAGCAUUCAGUUGGGCACUCUAAGGUGACUGCCGGUGACAAACCGGAGGAAGGUGGGGAUGACGUCAAAUCAUCAUGCCCCUUAUGACCUGGGCUACACACGUGCUACAAUGGAUGGAACAAAGGGUCGCGAAGCCGCGAGGUCGAGCCAAUCCCAUAAAUCCAUUCUCAGUUCGGAUUGCAGGCUGCAACUCGCCUGCAUGAAGCCGGAAUCGCUAGUAAUCGCGGAUCAGCAUGCCGCGGUGAAUACGUUCCCGGGCCUUGUACACACCGCCCGUCACACCACGAGAGUUUGUAACACCCGAAGUCGGUGGGGUAACCUUUUGGAGCCAGCCGCCUAAGGUGGGACAGAUGAUUGGGGUGAAGUCGUAACAAGGUAGCCGUAUCGGAAGGUGC
rnacentral:rRNA from 1 species